CCUCUCUGCACCCUGGCCUCCAACUCACUUCUUCCUGCGGAUCUUGGGUUUCUUCACAGGCCGCAGAUAGGGGUUAUCGAUGAUGUUCUCCUCCCCGUUCCGGCUCCCCGACAAGGAAGGGUUCUGCUGCAGGACAGAGGUGUUCUCCUUCUCAGCUCCAGAAUCAUCCUUUGAGCAAAAGCCGAAAUAAAGCAAAAUACCAAAUGGCAUAAGGAAAGAGAUCAUGCCCACGACGAAAGGAGGCCAGGCAGCGGCUGCUAUCAGAGGAAGGCGAGAGCACCAGCUUUGACACAGUGGAGCACAGAACACCAGACCCUGAACCUCUUCAGAAGGCAGGAACAGGAGUUAGAAGGAACAGAGAGCUGGGAGGGGCAGAGUCAGGGGCUACAAUUUAGACGCUUCAGGGAGGAAGCCCAGCCUGUGCGGAGACAAAGAAAAAGAGAAGUGGCUCCCGAUGCCCUGCAGGACUGAGAGGUACAGGACUGAAACAGAUCAUGUGCAUAGGGCACCCCCUGGACCAAAGCUCGUGUAAAUCAUAAUCGAUUUUCCCGCAAAUUCUCAAAUAUCUGGUACUUGCAACAUGGUACAAAUGAUCAUAUCCCAGCAGAGGCCAGAAGCUGCUCAAGCCCCGAGAGCUCCCAUGAAGGCGAAGCAGCACACGCAGGCACCAACACAGAGCGUCCUCCACCAUCUCCGUCUGCAGCCCGUGGAUCAGGCCUUUUGCUGUUCGCUUUUUGAGGAAAGUGAUUUUGGAGAAAAGCUUAUACGUUUGAAUAUAUUCAAUAUGAUCUCAGAUAAAGAUUUUUUAAAAAUCACAAUGGGAUGUAGACAUAGAAAA